GCAGCCCUAGCUCAGUUGGGAGAGCGUCAGACUGAAGAUCUGGAGGCACCGAGAUCGAAGCUCGGGGGCUGCA
rfam:Spraguea lophii 42_110 Contig_6413_1, whole genome shotgun sequence.